UACAAUUCUUGAUCUCAUGGAAAUUCCUCAAAGAAGCAGAUAUAUGUCCCUCAGACCAAUUUAAUGAAAAUUGAGCAAGUGAUGAUGGCAGAUGAGACUGAAUUGAUGAGCAAGAUACGGGCAUGGUAUAUUUUGGUCAUGAUAUAAUUUCAUUAACAAGAUGUUUCUAUUUAUGGUAGAAAUUAAAACUAAAAAGUCAUUUUUUUACCUUACGUGAAACUAGGGCUACAUACUUAUAUAGGUGGGUAACUAAGACUCGUAACUGCAGUGGAUCAUAACUAACAAAGUUGGAUUAGAUUUGCAGCAUCUAUUCAGACGGCUAGUUAGUAGUUACCCCACUUUGUGGAACAGGCAAAACCUGUGUAGAAUUCUCUUGUUCUGGGGUGCUUGGCUUCAGUAUAGAUUGGUGGAAGUGAAAGUAGAUUAGAGGGAAUGCCAGGCCCUGGUCCUCACCUGAUGUAUGGCAUGGGUUCAGGCUUGGCUCUGAGCAGUAUCACCAACGGAAGGUUCAGUCCCCACCACACGCUCACCUACACAGUCAACGCCUUCUUUGGACCAGAUAUUGGUUCUUUCUCAGAGUGGCUUGGUUCGGUCCUUGGUGGCCCAGCUGAUACUUUAGGAUCUGCUGUUGCCGAUCUCAUUCAUCAUCCCUUCUAUUACAUCCUUAUUUUGGGACUUCCUUUGUGUUUUCUCUACUCUCGGAUAUCCUCCUAUCUUGUUCAAGCACACCUCCUUGAUUCUGUCUCCAGGGUGCCACUUUCAAGGAUGCAAUGCUUUUUCUUGAUUUCAGCUGGCUCUUUCACCCACUUCUUUCUAGAUCAUCUGUUUGAGGAGAAUGGAAAAACUACCACGUACACUUGGAUUUUGAGCACUGGUUGGUGGCAAAGUAGAGCACCAGUUAACCCAGAUUCUGUUGUUGUAGUGGGCUUCUUAUGUGCUUGCUUAAUUGGCGGCUUUUUUUACCUCAACAGAGCAAGUGCCUCGAACUCCAUAAAGAAAAAGUCAUAUCAGUCAAUGCUGCUAAUGGUGUCCAUAGCUUCCUUGUACUGCUUUUGGUGUGCAAUCCAGAUAUACUGGAUUAAUCCACGUCGUCCAGCAGUUGGUGAAGAGGCUGACCUUGGUGUUCUCGUGUUUUUGGCUAUAUAUUUCUUUCUACCUUACGGUUUGUGUAUAAUGUCCAUGUACCCAAAAGAUCUUGAUACAAAUCAAAUUCCAUUUUAACAGUGUUUACUCUGCCAAAGAUGUGUUCUGCUUUUGCCGAUGCAAUUUAGUUGCAAGUGUAGCUAGAAUCUUGCCACUAGCAACUUAUAUCAUCACUCACCAACCAUAUGUGAAGUUAAGCAUCCAUUUGAUGUUGGAACUGGAUUCCUUUUUUUGUUUGGUCUAGACCACACAUAUACAUCAUGAAGACAAUUUAUUUGAGAUGAGAAUGCCUAUAGCAUGGUAGGACUAGCUCUUCUAGAGAUUUUUUUUUUUUUUUCCACACACAAAGUGUCCAUUGAUUUGGAACGGGAUUCUUUUGACCUUUCGGGUUAUUACAAGUUCUCAUUUAAAUAUACAACGUUGUCUAUAUAUUGUUGCAAAGUGAUUGAACGUUGAAGUUUGAUAUUUGAUUCUUGUCAUAAUGGACCCUGCAGUUGUUCGAAUCAAGCUUCUUCAUCCUUUUAGCAUAAUACUUGCUGCACAUAGGCAGACUCGCGUCUCUUCCCACUAGAGUUACUGGUGAGCAGAAGUUUUGGUGGGAGUUGAAAUGGUGGAAAAACUGCAGAUGCAGAUCUAAGUUAAAGUAUGUGCAAGUGUAUGUGAGUAGCAUGGUUCACCCUUUAUAUGUUU